GAUGAACGCUAGCCACAGGCUUAACACAUGCAAGUCGAGGGGAAACGACAUCGAAAGCUUGCUUCCGAUGGGCGUCGACCGGCGCACGGGUGAGUAACGCGUAUCCAACCUGCCCACCACUUGGGGAUAACCUUGCGAAAGUAAGACUAAUACCCAAUGAUAUCUCUAGAAGACAUCUGAAAGAGAUUAAAGAUUUAUCGGUGAUGGAUGGGGAUGCGUCUGAUUAGCUUGUUGGCGGGGUAACGGCCCACCAAGGCGACGAUCAGUAGGGGUUCUGAGAGGAAGGUCCCCCACAUUGGAACUGAGACACGGUCCAAACUCCUACGGGAGGCAGCAGUGAGGAAUAUUGGUCAAUGGGCGAGAGCCUGAACCAGCCAAGUAGCGUGCAGGAUGACGGCCCUAUGGGUUGUAAACUGCUUUUAUAAGGGAAUAAAGUGAGCCUCGUGAGGCUUUUUGCAUGUACCUUAUGAAUAAGGACCGGCUAAUUCCGUGCCAGCAGCCGCCGUAA
rnacentral:rRNA from 1 species